AUGGCGCUAUCAGUAUCAGCUGCUGCUCCCGGCCAGGGCCAGCAGGAACCGCCGUGGGGGAAGCAGUUGAGGUACCAGCUCGCUGCUGCUGUGAGGAGCAUCAACUGGACUUACGCCAUUUUCUGGUCCAUAUCCACCGGCCCUCCGCCUGCAGGAGUUCUGGCGUGGAAGGACGGCUUCUACAACGGCGAGAUAAAGACGAGAAAGAUCACCAGCUCAACGACGGAGCCGACUGCCGACAACCUCGUCCUGCAGACAAGUGAGCAGCUGAGGGAGCUCUACGAGUCGCUCUUGUCCGGCGGCAACUCCGACCGCCGGGCAAGGCGUCCUGCCGCCUCGCUGUCGCCGGAGGAUCUUGGGGACGCCGAGUGGUACUACACCGUAAGCAUGAGUUACACCUUCCGACCUGGCCAAGGGUUGCCAGGCAAGAGCUUUGUGAGCAAUCAACACGUUUGGCUGUGCAACGCUCAAUUCGCAGACACCAAAACUUUCCAGCGCGCGCUCUUAGCAAAGGCUGCGUCUAUUAAGACAGUCGUAUGCAUUCCCUUUAUGGGUGGCGUGCUCGAGCUCGGGACGUCGGAUCCGGUUUUGGAGGACUCAAACAUGGUGCACUGGAUCAGCACAUCUUUCUGGGAGCUUCACUUAGCAUCAUUACCAGCAUGCUUGGAGUCAGAGGAGCCGAGCUCCAACCCGUCAUUAGCAAAAAGAACUGGCGAGGCUGACAUUAUGUUCGAAGACCUCAAUCACAACACCAUUGAGGGGAUGAUCUCUGAGCUAAGGGAGGUCGAGUGUUUUUCUGAUGUCGACCUUGAGUGCAUCACAAAGGAGAUAGAUGAGUCCCACAGCCUCCUCGAGGGGUUGGACAUGCGUGCUCUCGAGGACAACUGGAUCUUGGACGGGUCCUUUGAGUUUAUGUCUUCCCCGCAAAUGGUGCCGGCUAUGGAUGCCCCAUGCACGGAAGAUGUCAACGUCACUUUAAGUAGCUCCGUUGAAGGCACUCGACCAUCCUGUUUUAUAGCUUGGAGGAGAUCAACGGAGUCAAAAGAAGCGGAUGCGCGGGUCACCGAGGAGUCACAAAAGUUGCUGAAGAAAAUUGUGGCCGGCGGUGCAUGGACGAACAAUGGUCGUGGUGGCACCAUGGCGAGAGCUCGGGAAACUAACAUCAAGGCCCAUGUCAUAUCAGAGAGAAGGCGUCGGGAGAGGCUCAAUGAGAUGUUCCUAGUUCUCAAGUCACUAGUCCCGUCCAUUCAUAAGGUUGACAAAGCAUCAAUCCUUGUAGAAACGAUAGCUUAUCUCAAAGAGUUGGAGCAAAGGGUAAAAGAGCUAGAAUCCAGCGGCGCACCAUCACCGCGCCUGAAAGAAAGAAUAUGA
rnacentral:rRNA from 1 species